AACGAACGCUGGCGGCAGGCCUAACACAUGCAAGUCGAACGCCGUAGCAAUACGGAGUGGCAGACGGGUGAGUAACGCGUGGGAACAUACCCUUCGGUUCGGAAUAACUCAGGGAAACUUGAGCUAAUACCGGAUACGUGCGAGAGCAGAAAGAUUCAUCGCCGAAGGAUUGGCCCGCGUUCGAUUAGCUUGUUGGUGAGGUAACGGCUCACCAAGGCGACGAUCGAUAGCUGGUCUGAGAGGAUGAUCAGCCACAUUGGGACUGAGACACGGCCCA
rnacentral:rRNA from 1 species